rnacentral:rRNA from 1 species
UACGUAGGGUGCAAGCGUUAAUCGGAAUUACUGGGCGUAAAGCGUGCGCAGGCGGUGAUGUAAGACAGUUGUGAAAUCCCCGGGCUUAACCUGGGAACUGCAUUUGUGACUGCAUUGCUGGAGUGCGGCAGAGGGGGAUGGAAUUCCGCGUGUAGCAGUGAAAUGCGUAGAUAUGCGGAGGAACACCGAUGGCGAAGGCAAUCCCCUGGGCCUGCACUGACGCUCAUGCACGAAAGCGUGGUGAGCAAACAGG